UACGGAGGGGGCGAGCGUUAUUCGGAAUCAUUGGGCGUAAAGGGCGCGUAGGCGGCCCUGUAAGUCUUGGGUGAAAUCCCUCGGCUUAACCGGGGAACUGCGUCUGAUACUGGAUGGCUUGAGCUCGGGAGAGGGAUGCGGAAUUCCAGGUGUAGCGGUGAAAUGCGUAGAUAUCUGGAGGAACACCGGUGGCGAAGGCGACAUCCUGGACCGGUAUUGACGCUGAGGCGCGAAAGCCAGGGGAGCAAACGGG
rnacentral:rRNA from 1 species